rnacentral:ncRNA from 1 species
GAAUAAUGGAAUAGCACCUCGGUUCUAUUUUGUUGGUUUUCGGAGCGCGAGGUAAUGAUUAAGAGGGACAGACGGGGGCAUUCGUACUGUGCCGUUAGAGGUGAAAUUCUUGGAUCGGCGCAAGACGAACGACUGCGAAAGCAUUUGCCAAGAAUGUUUUCUUUAAUCAAGAGCGAAAGUCAGAGGUUCGAAGACGAUCAGAUACCGUCCUAGUUCUGACUAUAAACGAUGCCAACUAGCGAUCGGGGGGCGUUACAUUGACGACCCCUCCGGCAGCUUACGGGAAACCAAAGUCUUUGGGUUCCGGGGGAAGUAUGGUUGCAAAGCUGAAACUUAAAGGAAUUGACGGAAGGGCACCACCAGGAGUGGAGCCUGCGGCUUAAUUUGACUCAACACGGGAAAUCUCACCCGGCCCGGACACAGUGAGGAUUGACAGAUUGAGAGCUCUUUCUUGAUUCUGUGGGUGGUGGUGCAUGGCCGUUCUUAGUUGGUGGAGCGAUUUGUCUGGUUAAUUCCGAUAACGAACGAGACUCUGGCUUGCUAAAUAGUUACGCGACCAUCCCGGUCGGCGUUUAACUUCUUAGAGGGACAAGUGGCGUUUAGCCACACGGUUCGAACCCCGAGAAACUGGAACGGAACGCUUCGGUCAAGUGUUCGAUUACCGGAAGU